rnacentral:rRNA from 1 species
AUUGAACGCUGGCGGCAGGCUUAACACAUGCAAGUCGAGCGGAGAUGAGGUGCUUGCACCUCAUCUUAGCGGCGGACGGGUGAGUAAUGCUUAGGAAUCUGCCUAUUAGUGGGGGACAACAUUCCGAAAGGAAUGCUAAUACCGCAUACGCCCUACGGGGGAAAGCAGGGGAUCUUCGGACCUUGCGCUAAUAGAUGACCCUAAGCCGGAUUAGCUAGUUUGUGGGGUAAAGGCCUACCAAGGCGACGAUCGGUAGCGGGCCUGAGAGGAGGAGCCGCCACACUGGGACUGAGACACGGCCCAGACUCCUACGGGAGGCAGCAGUGGGGAAGUUUGGACAAGGGGCGGAAGCCUGAUGCAGACAUGCCGCGUGUGUGAAGAAGGCCUUUUGGUUGUAAAGCACUUUAAGCGAGGAGGAGGCUACCUGGAUUAAUACUCUAGGAUAGUGGACGUUACUCGCAGAAUAAGCACCGGCUAACUCUGUGCCAGCCGCCGCAGUAACAC